rnacentral:rRNA from 1 species
AUUGAACGCUGGCGGCAUGCUUUACACAUGCAAGUCGAACGGUAACAGGCCUUCGGGUGCUGACGAGUGGCGAACGGGGGAGGAAUGCAUCGGAACGUGCCGAGAGGUGGGGGAUAACGCAGGGUAAGCUGGGCUAAUAUCGCCUGAGAUCUGAUGAUGCAAGCGGGGGACCACGCAGCAAUGUUUGGCCUCGCGCCUCUGGAGCAGCCGAUGUCUGAUUAGUUAGUUGGCGGGGUAAAGGCCUACCAAGCCGACGAUCUGUAGCUGGUCUGAGAGGACGACUAGCCACACUGUGACUGAGCCACGGCCCAGACUCCUACGGGAGGCAGCAGUGGGGAAUUUUGGACAAUGGGCGCAAGCCUGAUCCAGCAAUGCCGCGUGAGGGAAGAAGGCCUUCGGGUUGUAAACCGCUUUUGUACGGAACGAAAAGGCUCUGGCUAAUACCUGGGGCUGAUGACGGUACCGUAAGAAUAAGCACCGGCUAACUACGUG